rnacentral:rRNA from 1 species
GACGAACGCUGGCGGCGUGCCUAAUACAUGCAAGUAGAACGCUGAAGGAGGGGCUUGCUUCUCUGGAUGAGUUGCGAACGGGUGAGUAACGCGUAGGUAACCUGCCUGGUAGCGGGGGAUAACUAUUGGAAACGAUAGCUAAUACCGCAUAAUAGUAGAUGUUGCAUGACAUUUGCUUAAAAGGUGCAAUUGCAUCACUACCAGAUGGACCUGCGUUGUAUUAGCUAGUUGGUGGGGUAACGGCUCACCAAGGCGACGAUACAUAGCCGACCUGAGAGGGUGAUCGGCCACACUGGGACUGAGACACGGCCCAGACUCCUGCGGGAGGCAGCAGUAGGGAAUCUUCGGCAAUGGACGGAAGUCUGACCGAGAAACGCCGCGGGAGUGAAGAAGGUUGUCGGAUCGUAAAGCUCUGUUGUAAGAGAAGAACGAGUGUGAGAGUGGAAAGUUCACACUGUGACGGUAUCUUACCAGAAAGGGACGGCUAACUACGUG